rnacentral:rRNA from 1 species
CCUACGGGAGGCUGCAGUGAGGAAUAUUGGUCAAUGGACGCAAGUCUGAACCAGCCAUGCCGCGUGCAGGAAGACGGCUCUAUGAGUUGUAAACUGCUUUUGUACGGGGGUAAACGCAGUUACGUGUAUCUGUUUGCAAGUAUCGUACGAAUAAGGAACGGCUAACUCCGUGCCAGCAGCCGCGGUAAUACGGAGGGUUCAAGCGUUAUCCGGAUUUAUUGGGUUUAAAGGGUGCGUAGGCGGUCGGUUAAGUUAGAGGUGAAAUCUCGGGGCUCAACUUCGGACUUGCCGCUGAUACUGGUCGGCGAGAGAGUGGUUGCGGUAGGCGGAAUGUAUGGUGUAGCGGUGAAAUGCUUAGAGAU